CGAAAUUGUCAUGUUUCUCUCUUGUUUUGAGCACAGCGAUUCUCGUUCUCAAAGCUUGAUUGUUGCGGCGCCCAAUGUAUCUGAGAGAUACGAAGUGCCAUUGUCGUGCGGUUGGCACUUUCGUCGGUUGGUGUUGCCGCUAACGUAGCUGUCACAGAUAACGACGUCUCGUUGUUGUUCUGCUUCUUUUGUGGAAGAAGGUGGUGCGUGUCGCGUAUUUCGCUAAAUAUUUUACAGAUAAAUGAAUAUGUACUUGAUUGUCGAGAACACUGAAAACUAGUGAAACGAAGUUUGCCAAGUGGAUUAAAAUAAAGGUUUUCAUAAGUUUUAAAAGCACACAAAAUUUCAUUGGCGAAGAUAUAUGUAAUUGUAAAUAUGUGCGUAUGUAGAUACUAAUGCCUAUCGAAUUAAAGGAAUUGCAUAUUUGGAAUAGAAAUGAAAGAGCAACAGAUUAAAUUUAAAGUUAAUUGUCACAUUUCCUUACAGCUAAAGCUUCUUUGAGCCGAUAGUGAUGAUGAUAAUUACAUAUAUGCAUAAAUACAUACAUAAUUUACGAAUAAUGGGCGAAAUGUGAAGUGUUUGCUAUAAAUAUAUAUGUACAUGCAUAAGUAAAUGUGCAUAUGCAAGUUCAAAGUGUAUAGUAGAUUCAUACAAAUAUACAUACAUACGUAUAUGCAAUACCGAAGAGAGUGUAAUGUACGAGUAGAAAAAUGUGAUAAGUAAGUUUUCGCGAAAAAUGCAUGUCUAAAGUAGACGAAAAAACAAAACUUUGGCAGAAUUCUGUACAACUGGCAGACGAAGAGACCGACGAAAAUAAUAACAACUGCGACAACAAAUAAAUAAAAGCAGCGAAAACACUAGCAUACAUAUGUAUGAUACGUUUGUACAACAAAAGUUUUUGGAAUAUCAACCAUAUCAACUAGCCAGCGAGACAGUACGCGGACAGGGGGUAUGGAUAUAGCGACUAGGUCGCCUCAUUUGUUUGUGGUUGUGUUAGCGCUUUAACCCCCUUUGGCGCCCAACUUUAUCUGUGAGCGUGUGUCGAUACUUUCGAGUCGCGACGACAAACAGACGAGACAAAAGUCUGCCUCUGCGUCUCCCAUAUAUGUAUGUAUUUUUAGUGUAUUUUCUAAUCAGAAGAAAAAAGCAACAAAAAAGCUAGUGCAAUAAAAACAACAACGAUAAUGACUGCCGAUGGCGGAAAGCAAAAAGUGAAGCAAAAGAAGAACCGAAGCGAAUGAAAAUCAGACUGAGAGAGAGAGCAAAACACGCGCCAUCCAUGUACGCGACCACCGAUGCCGACGCCUGUCGCCAAUCAAACCAACACACAUACGUAUCACAGCAUCGCAGUCGCAGCUUCGCUCUUUGGGGCUUUUAGACGUCGGUAUUCGUUAUCGUUCUCUCAUUUGGUGAGCUCCACCAAAAUAACAAAAUACAACUGAAGCAAAAGCAAAAAGUGGCAGUGCACAUCGCGCCACAGCGAGCGGGAGAAUUAUUUGUGCGCUCGCAGCGAACACGAGAAAGGGAUACGAAGAGAAGCAGCAGCCGCGAAGCAGUACUAUUGGCAGAAUCCACUUGGAUUUUUGACAUUUCAGCCUCAGAGCGCCACAAUUUGGUCAUCAGUCGAACGGUCAGUCGUAAGGUCGUUUGUUUGGCGCACUGUUCUGCAUGCGCACGAUAUCUAGAUAAAAGCAGUACAACAAACGCAUAGCAGAUAAACAUAAAUACAUACAUAUAAGUGGAUUUAGGGAGAUGCGUCUAUUAGUCCAAUGGCAAAAGUGCCAAACCACAUUCAUACAUACAUACAUCCACACAUCCAUACAUACAUACAUAUAUGCAGAUGUGCAGUGAUUGUAAAUAUUCAGUGCAAAAGUGUGUAAAAAAUAUCUUCCAAAAGUUUUCAAAAAUCACUAAAGAAUUGUGAGUGUUUCAAAAGGCGAUAGCAACCCAGUGAUAAAUAGAGAAAUUUGCAAUUGCGGCUUGGCUAGCGAUCAUACUCUGAGUAAUCAGAAACACACUCAAAAUACCAUGUAUGUACAUAUGUACAUAAAUACAUAUAAAAUUAUGUGAAUUAGCCACUAAAAGCAACCAAGGAGGGAAAGAAGUAUAAAAUCAAAAUAAAAACAUGAGAAUUAACGAAAUUUUUCUACUUCUUACUGUGCCUGAGAGUUUAAAAAUAACCUCACAGUUUUUUAAAUUCUUUGUUUUUAUUUGUUGUCAGUGCGCUGUUUCUGAAAUUCCGUCGCUGCCAAAACCGGGCUGUGUGCGAAGUGCUGCGCAAAGCAAAUAAAACGAAACUAGCAAAUAACAGCAACACAGGGGCGGGAGAAGGCUUGACGUAGCUGUGAAGAAGCCUUCGCGUUGUGUGUCGCUGUCGCUGUGUUUGAAAAAGCUCGAGUGUGAAAUGCCGACGGAUUUGUAUGCGAAAAUAAUUGAAGCUGCGAUGAAAUAGAAAUAAUGCAAGAGUAGAAUACAUAGUUUUAUAAUUCAUCGUAAGCGCACUAUAACGGCACCAAAAUAAUAUCAAAAAUGAAAAAUAAUUUAUUAAUAAUUAGUUAAUAAAAUGUGUCAAAAAUAAAAAAGUGCCAAAGUGUUGAGAAAGUUUAUAUUAAUUUUCCUGGUGGAAAAGUGUGAGUUCCGCUGUAAAGUUUCAGCUGGUAUUUAGUCGCAUUAGUAAUUCUACAUUAAAAUAUAUUGCAAUCAAUUAUGACAAAUGUAACCAUACCGGUUCACAGCCAAACACUGCUGUGAGUGCGCGAAGCUACAAUUGAAGAAAAGUCCGUAAUCCAUUUAAACUAACACCGCAUUUGGAUAUAACGAAGAAAUCUAGCCCUUCCAUCACCUCUGGGCAGGGACUAGGGAGAGGCUCUAAAAGAUCACUGGGAAAAAGAUGACUGAGUACGUUACGCCAAAUAUACACACAGUGCUCAAAAAGUAUCAGACAAGUGCACCAAAAAGUUUACAGGGGCCUGGUCAUGCGCUAACCGCCGCCGCCGGCUGCCCUACCGGCCCUAAUUGCCCACUCGAUGCCAGUGCAUUUGCUGGUGCAAGUGGCAGCGGCGGUAGCAACGCUGACCUAAACAUCGCUGGUGUGCGCAACCUUUGCGGCGCGCAUCUCUCGUUGGGUAAUCUACCAUCCAAUACUACGACAAGUGGUAACCAUAAGCUAUCGCCCCACUGCCCUCAUAUUGCGUCUUCAUCAUCAGCCUGCUCAAGCUCACCGAAUUCGGGCACUGGUUUGCCACCGGCUGCAGCGUUAAUCAAAAAAGAGGUUCUCAGUUCACCCGAGCCACAUGAACUGGGCGACAUAUUACCGCCACAAACGCUGCCGCUACCGUUGUCGAUGUCGUCACAAGUAACACAAUCCCAAUCACAAACAGCUUCUACUCAGUCAUCCAUCACGACAGUUAAGAUCAUACCACCGCCACCGCCAGAAUUGUCACAACCCAUCUUUACCGCACCAGACUCGGGCUCGGGUGUGUUAUAUGAAACGCGGCUUGAAGGCAAGACGAUUGGCUGUUUCUCACUAGGUGGCGAGAUGCGUUUAUGUUUGCCGCAGUUUCUUAAUAAUGUACUUGCCGAUUUUACGCUCGACCAAAUCAACCGAAUAUUUGACGAAUUGGGAAUUUACUGUUCACAAUGUACGCCCGAUCAACUGUCGGAAUUUAAAACAGCCAAGAUAUUGCCGCCAGACGUGAAAGCGUCCGGUCUGAUAACACGCACCGAUGCGGAGCGUUUGUGUGCAGCUCUAUUGCAUCGAAUCGACAGAAAUAGUUACAUCAGUGAUGAGGACAUACCGAAAGGUGCCAUCUCAUUCAAAGUAUACCAUCGCUGUUUCGGCAAAUGCGACGGUAUUUGUACUCCCGAUUUGUACUCAUACACCAAGCCAACUUGCAUAAUGUGUCUGGAGUGCAAAGGCUGGUUUUCACCGCAGAAGUUUGUUGGCCAUGUACAUAGGGAAGUGGAAAAUCGCACAUGCCAUUGGGGGUUUGAUUCGCGCAAUUGGCAUGACUACCUGCAUGUGGCGCUGGAUGUGGAGAAUCGCGAGAAAUACCAGAAGAUACUCGAUGAGUUGAAGGAGGUCGAGAUCAAGGAAGCCCUCAAGGCACAAAACGAAAUGCUUUACAUGAAACGAAAGCACGCAUUGCAUGUGGAUGACGAAAUACUAGCUCCUCCUCAGAUGGGUCAUUCACUGCCCGGCAUGGCAUUGCCACCGCACCAGCAGGCGUCUGGUCUGAGCGAUAAGCAGCGCAGUGAUAUGCUUGCCAUUCCAGCGAAGAAAUCGAAAGGUUUCGAUGAGGCAGCAGCCUAUCAGCUCGAUUAUCAACACUACCAAUCGCUUAUGUAUGCGCAUUGUGCACAACAACAACGGGUCGGCUCGAUGUCUGCGUUUAGGCCAUGGGCACCGAAAUCCUUCCUACAUUCUCCAGCCACCUACAAUGCGGUAGCAGCGUUCUCCACACUACCCUAUCUAAGUCAAGAGCCACCAGUGUUGCAAAAUCCGGAGAGAGUAGUGCGCAGCACGGAUCGAGAACGUUUCGAACGCACCUACCAGCCAAAUGUAGCUCUAGUACCACGAAAAUGUGUUCUAGCCAAGGAAAGAGAAAAGGAGCAACGCGAAAGGGAUCGGGAGCGCAUUGAGCGGGAACGGGAGCGAGAGCAGGAGAGGAAAUUGGAACAUUCGAGAGAACGGGAAAAACAAGAACUGGAAGAGCAGGAGCGGGAGCGAAAAGAACGAGAAAUGCAGGAGCAUCGGCGACAACAAAUGUUGCAACAACAGAAUAUACAUCAGAAACAACCAUCAUCAGCACAAACUGUACAGGAACAAAUGAGUCUAUCAAGCCUUUGCCCGACAGAGCUAAAAAUAAAACAAGAACGUGCCAAUACUCCGACCGACAUACCCCAAUCACCACCGCUUACCAAUAUGAGUGGCGAUGACGAGGAUGCCCCUCGUGACCAUAAUGGCUCGGCAAUACCAAUGGUAUCGCCCAUAGCGGUUGCAAUGGGCCAACAACAAAGAAAACUGCUUAACAAUAAUAACGGCAGCAACAAUAGCAGUUGUCACAGCGAAGGCCUCACUAUACAGCAGCAACAACUUCAAGAGCAGCAGUCACGAAGACUCGCUCUCUAUAACUCAAACUCUUUCGCCUGCUCCUCUUCGUCGACGACACCAACAACACCCCCACAGCAACAACUAUUGCAUGCGCACUUGCCUCCGCCAAAACAGUACCAGCAAGAGCAAAGGCAUGGCCAUCAGUUGUCACAACAACAACAACAACAACAACAACAACAGCUGAUACACCUGAGACAAUCUCCCCGUACGUUUCCUCCAUCACCCACGGAAACUCACAGCUCGGAGGAAUUUUCAGGCUCGAACGAAAUCACAUCAUCCACAUCACCUGCCCCCUGCAACAAAACUAAGACCACCAGCCGUGAUCCUGGUCUACGCGACGCUCACACUCAGGAGUCUAGCCGAGAUCAACAGUGUCAGCCUCUGAUUGCAACUGUUAACCAGCAUGCCAAGCUUCUUCCCACGCCGAUAACAGCAAGUUUUACUGCCAACAGCAAUAGCAACAACCACAACGAAUUGCCAAGCCGAAUUCGGAUUAGCAAAAACUUAAUCAACCGAUCAAAUAUAAUUAGAUCACCAACACCUCCGCCAUCACUACCUCCUUCAUCAGCAUUAGCUCAACUCCAUCCGCUUCAAGAACAACAACACCUUCAGCCACAACAACAGCUACAGCAGCACCAACCUCAGUUGCAAGUGUUGCAAAAUCAUCACCAACAGUAUGAGUUUUAUAAACAAAAUCAGCGGCUUUUUGAUCAACAAUUUCAACAACAGCAACAACAACAACAACAACCUCUAUCAUCGAUGCAACACAAACAAUUUGUAAUGCACUCCCAUCACCAAUCACACCAAGCCAAGCAUUCACCCUCACAGUCUUCCACCGUAACCGGGCUGAAUUUGAGCACGCAUGCCACGAAAGGUAUAACACAGUUGAUGACGAGAGAUGCACAAAAACAACAAGGAGGACAGCAAACACGACCAUACAACGGUAUACCGUACAUUGGCACCGAAUUCGAGCUGUCCACAGACACUGACGAUGAUAGUGUGAACGGGGAGGCAGAUAGCAGUCAUAUUGCAUCGGCCUGGGAUACGGCGAUUGAAGCACUGCGCGACACAAGACCCAAAGAGCGAGAGCGAGUACUCGAUCUACUCCGAAAGGUGUUACAUGAAAAUCAAGAUAUGCGUUACAGCAAUCUUCAACUCAGUGAAAUGGUACAAAAGCGAGAUGCAGUGAUCAGAGAACUCCGAGAGCAGCUUCAAACCUGUCGACGUCAUUUGCAGAUGCUGAGUUUACGUCAAGAGUUGCCCGCCCAAACAAAUGGUUUGGACAUCAGUGAUGGUUUUAAGGAUGAAGAAUCACGAGGUUUGUUACUAAAGCGAUCGCUAUCAAAUACGAAAUGUGCAGAUUCAGAGCACAACAGUGUAGCCAAAGAUGUUGGAGCUGAUGAUGAACACCGUUAUAAUUCAUCAACGCCAAUGGCUAGUCCAGCCGAGUUGACUGGGGAGAAGAAGGACAAGCUGUCGACAAACGAUCAGCUGAGCGAUAGUGAGGAUGGAAGGGACCUUUCCUGCAAUAGUAAGGAAUCUGAGUAUGACAGCGAUAACGGUAGUGAUAAGGAAAGUGAACAUGCUGCUGAUUCUAUUAAUGUGAAUAAUGAUCUCAGAAGCAGUGACGAUCUCCCAUUGGAGAAUGUGAAUGACUUAAAAGACGUCGAUAUAAGUGAGCAGCCGCAAGCGAAGCGUUCUAGACUCGAAAGCGGCAGCGAAAGCAAUUGCAGCUCAAACGAGGAGUAUUCGACAGUUAAGCAUACAACGAACCAAUCAGACGAACAGGCUUCACGCAUAUCUAAGCAAGAUGACGACAACUCUUACGGUUCGGAAGAUGAUGAAACGCCAACGGCCAAUACAAUAUCAGAGUUUGCCGAGUACUCGAAUACCAAAAAUGAUCGUUAUACACAAAUAACCAACACCGAUGACCACGGUGACGACGAAGAAGAGGAAGAAGCGACUCGAUCUUCCGCUGCCAAUGGUAGCGAUAGCAACACGAACGCAUCAGAAGACGAAGAUAACGACAGUGGCCGGCCCUUAACACACCCCCUGGAGGCGGAGACAGACGUGCAAGCGCCACAUAGCAGCUCAUUGAGCACCGUACCCACGGCGACUACCCCAUUAUCACCGCAUUCUGCCGCAACUGCUGGACAGUUGUUCGACAGCAGCAAUAGCAGUGAUGAAUCGUCAAUGAAAAAAGCGCAAAUGUCAGCAUCCAACGCUCUCGCCAAAAUCACCGAAAUCACCGAAACUGCGGAUGAUGGCGAUGAUGGCAACGUAGAAGCAAAUCAAAUCAAAGAGUUGUGGAGAACAAAGGGAAAGACGCAGUGCAAAGUUGAAGAAGUUGAAAAGCAGAAUCGGGAUCGCAGCGGUGGGAAGUCGGAAAUUAGUAGUUUGGGUGGUAAUGCGAAAGCAAGUCGCUUCAACAUCAAUAAGGAACAAUAUAGUUCGCGCAGCGGACGAUAUCCUACCAAUUCGAAUACGUUGUCAACGAACACACAUGAGAAUCAACAAACCGGCGAAUUUAACGAAAACAAAUUCGAUCUCAGUGUUAAAGUGAAUAAUAACGACGUCUUGGGUAAGGAACCUCUGGCACCGCGCGCACCUCUUCCAACAAAGGCCAGCAAAAAGCAAACUCCAACACCAAACACUGAGGUACGGAUCAAAAAGGAAAUAAUUUAACCGCUUCUAAGCAAAACACGAUAAACCCGACACUCUCACGGUCUCUCGUAGACCAUGGGGCGGAAUGAACCGGCCAUGUCGCCAGGAUAAGCGGCCGCCCUUCUAAUCAUGCCUACGUACAAAUGCUUAUGUGCUCAUGUCUCUCAGAUACGACAUGGACUCAUGAUGCUCUUCUACUCAAGCGAACGUUACAGUUUAAUAAUUGCACAUGCACACAUACAUUCAUAAAUGUAUUCAAAUCAUAGUUGCGCAAAAUGCAAACAUUUUUCAAUACUUAAAAGGAAUUAAAAAUUUCAAAAUCAAAUGCAGAUGAAAGUUUCAAUGAAUAAAGCUUGAUGAAUCGAGUGCAGAAAAUUAUUAUGCCAGAGCAGAAUGCGCUGACGAAAUACUACUUUCGUUAUUGCAUUGAAAUCGUUAUCGGCAUCCAAUGUUGCAAAGUAUUGUAUAAUUACCAGUAAAAUGCAAACGCCUUAAAUUAUUAGUGCAUUUUUAACAAAUUUGUUUCGAAUGUGCAUAUGUAUGCUCGUACGUUGCUAUUAAGCCAAUCUAUACACCUUUCUGCUAUGUCCGUGCUGCGAGGCUUUUAAAGCUUGCACAUUACACCCACAUUAAUAAGUAUUUUAAUAGAUUUUUACUGUCUUAAGCUAAUCUAUAAUUUUAACGGAGAAAAUAUUGUAAUAACUGUAAAAAAGUUUUGUACAUACUAAAAUAUGUAUGUAUUCUCUGAAUACAAAGUGAACAAAGCACAGCCAUUUAUUUGCUUAAUUUUAUAUGGUUGGAAAUUACACACACACACACACACACACACUCGCAUUAACAGUUGUAUAUUUAUUAAACCAAAGGACGAAGCAAACUGAAAAAAUAUAUGUACAUGUUAGAGGCACUUUUUGAGUGACGAGGCGCAGCCAGGUAUUAUGUUCACACAGGCUGCAGUUUCAACAAUUUUGACAGCUUUAAGUCUUAGUUGUGUCGCCGGCUGCCGCGAUAGCCAAGUGUUUAGCCUUGCCUACUGCCAUUCGGAAACGAACGAGUUCUGGUUCGACCAAUCCAACAUUAAUUUUUCUAAAUUUGUUUUUGCGGAGUGGUGACUCCUCAUCAGACUUCUUAUGGCAGGGAUCGAACUAACGGAUCCUGACUUAACAGGCGAGUGUUAGUGAGUUGUGUUUCAGGCGUUGAUUGACUGAAAAAUGAAUAGGGAGAAAUAAGUAUCAGGUUCAACUUAUAUAAUCAUAAUUUGUUUUUGCUAAUUUUUCUAAUUGCGGUCGCCUCUCGGCAGGA
rnacentral:misc_RNA from 1 species